rnacentral:lncRNA from 1 species
ACCUGAUGUUGCAUGUGUUUUGGAAACUUUAAUUCUGAGGAUGAAUGCUGAGUCCAAAACAUGUAGAAAAUAUUGAGAAAUGUCUUGGGAAAUCAUCAUUUGUGUUUGAAGCUAAGCUGGCAAAGGAAGCAAUCAGUAUGAAAGAAAAUGUAUGCAAGGAAAAUGAAUGAGUCUGUUUCUAGUAAUGUGUAUCUCAACCAGCUCCACUUAUCAUCAAGAUUUUAACGUUUUUGUUUAUUCAGUGUUAGCAUUGUGCAUGAUAGUCCUGCCUCUCUGCAUUCCCUCUGUUCACCUGAUCUUGCAGUUGAGAUACUCAGACCUCAAACUAAGUUCCCACUGAAGGUGUUCUCUCUUACAUGCUUCAGGGUUGUUUCUCAAGGGACCAGAACUGGAAAUUCUGCAGUGCAGAAGGAAAGAAGAAUACAAGGGCAACCCUUCAACAACAGGGGUGAAGGCUGGUGGACGACUGCCCCAAGCUUUCUGCCCUACACAGGACAGGUCCAGGGGUUCACCCAUGUGGUUUCUCAGAGACUUCCCCACAGGAAUGAGCCCCGAGUGCACACAGCAAUACCUCAUUCAGCAACACAGCCUUUAGGAGGCGGCUUCUCUCCCUUCUCUUUUCCUGCUUCCCAUGUUACUAGUUUGAGUUCCCCCAAAGAUUCAGAUAAUCAGGGCACUAAUACAAAAUGAAGGGAAUUUAUAGAAAAUAUAUGGAAUAAAUUCUGCCACAAAAAAAUUAGUUGUUCAAGCGUAGUGUGAAGCAUAAUUUAUUUCAAUAUUUCAUUAUCAUGCAUAGGAUAUAUCACUAAUCCAGGAAUUAAAAUCAACUUAUUUAUUUCUAAUCUCCAGAAAUUUAUUAAUGACCCUUAUGUAUUGUAUGUCUUGCAGGUGCUAUAGUGGUUAUGCAGGACUCAGGUGCCAGCCCCUAAGGAAUAUGACCUGGAAUAUGGUGUGUCCAAAAAUACUAUCUUUGAUAGCUAAAAUGUCCAUGAGGAAAUCAUGGGAAACCCUUCUGAAUGGAGCAGGCGUGAAUCGGACGACCUACUGGGAGAACAAGGUCGCCCACCGCACGGAAGCAAAGUCGCGGGACCCAGCCGCAGAAGCCCCAGGGUCUGCGCGACAGUGCUCCAAGGAGAGUGCACGCCACACAGAAAACAGCGGGGAGACUUGAGACGCUCAGGGCUCCGAGUCCACACAUCAGCGCUGGAAGGGGAGGUGAGCUCAAUAACCCGAGACAUUGGUGGGGAAACGGGGGUCAGAAUCUAGAGGGGGGCCGGAAAGUGCAGCAAACUCACUACCGGAAAGAAGGAAAAAAAAAAGCUUUGGGGUUUCUCUUCCCCCUAACCUUGCAAAGGUUACAAGCCUGCAAGACUUGAAGAAUUCCCAAGAGACAAAGAGCAGGCCUCCUCUUUGGAUUUACAUAUCAGUGGGGGAGAGUUAAGGAACUGAGUCACUACAAUUCAGUAGCCUAGGCAACCCAGUGGGAGUCCAGAGGAGCCAAAGACUGGAAGCUAAAUACCAUCAAUUCUGCACAGCCCUGCCCUGCAGUGUUACUUACCCCCUGAAUAAAUAAAAUAAAUAAAUAAAUAAAAAGAGAGAG